GUGCCCCUUUUUUGCCCACUCUGGACCACAAGUGUCCUUGGUGUCUAACACAGGGGGGUAGAGUAGCACUCUCAUAAACCUGUAGUGAAGGCAUGCAUCCUCACUGCGGAUCCUGUCGGGAGAAACAACC
ensembl:snoRNA